rnacentral:ribozyme from 1 species
UUUUGCUCUCUUUUGUUCUUUUUUUCUUUCUGCCUAUCUCUUUCUGGAGCCCCUUUCCGCCCUGCCUGUCUCGUUGUGAAGGGCAGGGCAGAAAGAAAUUGGCUACUGUUUGGCUGGAAAAAAAGAAAGAAAUCGUCUUUAUCUUCGUGUGAGAGUCGAUAAUAACACAGAAGCAAG